UACAUAGUACAACGUAGUCAAUACCGAGUUAAUGGCUGACGUUUCAGAAUAUCUUAGCUUUUAAGAUAGUUAAAAAUCACGUUCAUGUUUAGUAUAUUAAUGCAAUAAUUAUUUGUCACGUUUUAGAUUAUAAUUUAUGCUUAAUUAUAUUCAUAAGGGUGAAUUGAAAAUUGUUCCAGUGAAUCUUCAUCGACAGAUUCAUCUUAUCGUUUUUAUUCAUAAUUUAAAUUCCAUCGUUUUACGUUUUAAAACAUAUAAUUAAUAAUAUCUUCUUUCUAUGAUCGAUGCUUGUUAUUAUAAAAAUGUAUUAAUCUGGCGUAAAAGAGACGGAGAUGCAUAAAGAAAAAGAAAUGAAGAGAGAGAGAGAGAGAGAGAGAGAGAAAGAGAGAAAAUAAUGACUAGAUAUAGAGGACGAUCGAAGCGAAUGAGUCAGCAAAUCGCAAUCAGACGAGAUCCAACGUUCUUUUUCCAAGUUCAAUGACCGAAGAUAACUCUCGUUAUCGGUUCGUCUACCAACUCAAUAUCGAACGUAGCUCUCUCUCUCUCUCUCCAUCUUUCUCACUCUCUAUCUCUGAGGGUCUUUACAUCUCGAUGCACGUUUGUCGCGGACACCAAGCCGUUGGGGUGGUGGUGAGAUCGGUCGAGGGUGAACGCAUAGUUGCACCGAGGGCAGCAACGAAGUACUCUAGUAGUAAACUAAACCGCUUAUCGGACGAAUACCUCAACGUUACCAAAUGCCAAGGAGAAAUUCCGCUACUCUUCACUGAAAACUGUUGCCUGUCGUCGAAAAGACCUCCGCUUAUGUUACAAAGUACAAGAAUAUUAAACAUUGAUAUACAUUACAAGUUGAAACUAAUCAAGUCGAGGAAGAAGAGGUAGAAGUUAAAAAACAAGAGGGAGCACUUUUCCACCGUCACAGUUUCAAUUGCACCCUGGUGGACCUGCCAGAUGCGAAGUUGGCGCGUGCCACAUUGAAAUGAAAGAUGAGAACCGGCUCUCGAUGAGAUCCCAUUGUCCUCGAUAUACCUUUUCUACUGAAGGAGGGUUCCGUGAGUCUAGCAGGUUCACCAAACGGGAUAAAACACGAAAGAUGUAUCCAGUUACAACAGAGAGAACACGUUGAAUGUCUGAAAUAUCAUAUCUAAGGAUAUUUCAUUUGUUAUGAACGAAAAAGCAGGAAAAUCACAAGAGAAAUCUUUCGUUAAGGAAUCUGUCAAUAAUAAUGCUGGAUCGCCUACAUUUCUUUUCUCUCUAUCUCUCUCCGCCUCUUCUAUCUUUUCUUUCGAUUUCGAGAAAUAAGUAACGAGAAGAGCGUUCUCGAAUUACUCUCUAGGGACUGAAGGAAAGUGCGUAAUAUCGAGAUAGAUACAAGUCUCCAUCUCUUUUCUUCGUUCCAUCCAACUUCAUCUUUCUCUCUCCCUUUCACUUGUCUUUUUAUCUCAUCCCUCUCUUUCUUCUUCUCCUCGUUCACCCUCUCGGAGCUCGAUAAAUUACGCUUUGUUAAGUAAGAGUCAGUCGAGUUUGCAUAGAAAGAGCCACUCAGGUUUCCCGAGCUUUCCCAGAGGAUUUAAAUGGAAAGUCCGUUAUAAUUUCCAACUCUGUUACGGGCCGACUUGACUCUCAGGGCACGAAAGAUUCGCGAGAGCGUGCCCAGUUUAUAUAUAUAUAUAUAUAUAUAUAUAUAUAUAUACAUAUACCAAAGACAUAGACACCUUUUACUGAUAACGAAAAGGAUGUGUACUAUUAUUUUUCUUUCAAUUCUCCCUUCAUUUCUUCCGUGUCCCUUACUAUUUCUUUUUCCAAGUAUGGAAUUAUGAAAACUCGAUCCAACGUAAUAUCUAUACUUUCA